ensembl:lncRNA
UUUCAGGUCCGUUGCACCUUUCAUCUACAUGCUCAAUGUGUAGAGUGAAGGUGUAAAGCAAGAGAAUUAUUUGAAUGUAAUCUUUGGCAUGAUCACCAUUAGAAGAAAAUAGUAUUGGUAAAAGUUUGGCUGUUUUUCAUAUGGAAGUGAAAGACACUAAAGGAUUUCCUGAAUUAACUAAGCAGAUUCUGGUGGUCUUGUGAUUUUGUCCUGUGACACUCUGAGAAGUUGCCACAUUAUCACCAUACAGCUGUUCACACUGUGCCAGAUGCUGACGAUGAGUGCUGACAGGUGGAUUCUCCUCUUAGCCCUGUGCUUCACACGUGCGGAUUCAAAUGAUGAGCACUUAUACGAAGAUUAUCAUGAGGAUAAUCAGUGUGAAACACAGAAACUCAAGGCUCCUCUUGGCUCGUCUGUGUUCCUACCGUGCAGCUUAUCAACAAGUAGCCAAAACUGGGUGACAUGGACCCAGGGUGGCAAGGCAGAGCUGGCAAAGCUCUCCUUUGAAGGGCGCGUCAAGUUCCUGGACCCCAGACAUGGCAGAGUGAAAGCUUUUCCAAACCAGGUCUCAGAGGGAAAUUUCUCCAUCCGCAUCGAUGAGCUGAACAACUCUGACCUGGGCAGCUAUCGCUGUAUACAGGGAGAUUACUGUCAAAAAGUGGAGUUGCUUGCUGACAGUACCCUGAGCACAGAGAUGUUGCUACUGAUUUCCAUUAGUGCUGGGGUGGCUGCGCUCAUCCUGCUAAGUGUUGCUGGAUAUUUCUGCUGCAAGAAAUGUGUCGUGCCCUGCCACAACAAAACCCAAGACAAUGCAAACAAUCCUGUCAAUGCAGGUAUUGAGGCAGGUGCCAGUGCUCCCCCUGCUCCUCCAGCAGCAGUACAUGGACAGCAGAUUGGACCAGACAAUAACAGUCUUGUUUAUGAAAACGAUGAUCAGUACUUUGCCAGCGCUGCCCCCGCCAGACACCACGGUGGUCACCCUGGAGCUAUGCAGAAUCAGCCCAGUCAAGCACCCAGUGGGAUUUACCCAAACCUGAGCGAGUUUAAGAUGGAAAGAGUGGAAAGUCAGAGAACAAGAAUGAGAUUUCACAUAGGUGCUUAACUGUAAUCACUAUGAAUACAGCAGCUUGUAUUUAAAGUUGUAACAAUACAAAGUAACUCAGUCGUCUCUCGUCUCCUUAGAACUCAUCAACAGAUUACGGCAUGCAAGUCUUAGUCGACAUUAUUACGGUAUAUACGGUAUAUGAGCAUCUUUGAUUAUUUUGUGUCAUUUCAAUUCUGUCACGCAUUUUACUCAUUCCCUUUAAUAUACAGUUAAUCAAGGUGAACUCAGGAAGCAACAAGCCAUGUCGACACAGGCCGAGAAUCAUCACAGAGCAGGUGUCGGGAAGAAGAAAGCCAAAGAAGACGGUGAAUACAAAAACCCGAUUUACAACAGGAGCACUGACCAGCUCAACCAUCUGUAGAGAAUCAAGGACAAAGAACAUCCUCUGACAAAGACCGCUAUUGACUAUUCAUUUUCUAUUUCUAUUACUUUUGCUUCUGUAUUUUUAAAAAAGUGAUAUGUGUUUUAUUGUAGUUGUAGUAUGAAUUCACUGUACCUCACUGCUUUUGCUGCACAUCCAUGACUGCUGUUUCAUAAAGUACAUUAAAUCAAUAUCUCACUUACAAAUUGGCUUCAUCCUAGUGGUUAUUUCACAAUCCAAAAUGGCUUUUUCGAAGCAAACAUUUUUGUCCUAGUGUCAGUAAUGUAGACAGGUGUGCUGCAUAAAUUCAUGAAAGACUGUUGACCUCCUCAAUUGAGAAACUUUACAAUAUAACAUAACGGGAC